rnacentral:rRNA from 1 species
UACGAAGGGGGCUAGCGUUGCUCGGAAUCACUGGGCGUAAAGGGUGCGUAGGCGGGUCUUUAAGUCAGGGGUGAAAUCCUGGAGCUCAACUCCAGAACUGCCUUUGAUACUGAAGAUCUCGAGUCCGGGAGAGGUGAGUGGAACUCCGAGUGUAGAGGUGAAAUUCGUAGAUAUUCGGAAGAACACCAGUGGCGAAGGCGGCUCACUGGCCCGGUACUGACGCUGAGGUGCGAAAGCGGUGGGGAGCAAACAGGG